GGUGAACGCUGGCGGCGUACUUAAGACAUGCAAGUCGAACGGCAGUCUUCGGACUGUAGUGGCGCACGGGUGAGUAACGCGUAACUGACCUACCCCAAAGUCGCGGAUAACGAUUCGAAAGAAUCGCUAAUACGUGAUGUGCUGUCAGAUUGUGUUCUGCCAGUAAAGAUUGAUUGCUUUGGGAUGGGGUUGCGUUCCAUCAGCUAGUUGGUGGGGUAAAGGCCCACCAAGGCGACGACGGAUAGCCGGCCUGAGAGGGUGGCCGGCCACAGGGGAACUGAGACACGGGUCCCACUCCUACGGGAGGCAGCAGUUAGGAAUCUUCCACAAUGGGCGAAAGCCUGAUGGAGCGACGCCGCGUGAGGGAUGAAGGUCUUCGGAUCGUAAACCUCUGAAUCAGGGACGAAAGACACUUCGGUGGGAUGACGGUACCUGAGUAAUAGCACCGGCUAACUCCGUGCCAGCCGCCACGGUAAAAC
rnacentral:rRNA from 1 species